rnacentral:lncRNA from 1 species
CCAGCUUCAUCCCGUUCAUAUCCGCAUCCCCUGCAUCCCAAAUCCCAUCGAAUCAAGCCAACCUCCUUCGGAUUCCUUCCAUGUCCACGAACAAAGCCAUCUCUUCCCCUGUUUCGGAACCACUCCCAGCUAUAUCCAAAGCAUCUUUAUCCCAUCUCCCAACCAACUCCAGCUCUCAUCCUUUCCUCCCCUAUUUUAGAUUCAAAACAGAGCCAAUCUCCCAUGGAUCAACAUCUUCCAACCGUUCCCUCUUCCCACAAAUGUCCCAGCUCAUCUUCCCUUCCGUCCGCAUGAACCCAGCAACCGUAUUCAUCCUCAUCCUCCCGUAUCUUCACCUCUAAUCCUCCUAGCGAAUCCCUUGCAUCCUCUUCCCCUGUUCCGAAACAAAGGAAACAACCAUCCGUGAUUCAAGGCCCCUUCCGGAUCAACUCUCGGCCAUCCCGCUCCACGGACGAAGCUCACGCAUAUUCCCCUGCGUCCAGCUCUUAUCCACGAGUUU